UUUUGGAGAGCACAUAUAAGAUUUAAGAGCUAAAAAAUCUGCAAAUUGAGGGACCAAGGAGAUUUCUAAGAGUUGAGCAUCAAUUUUGUUGGUCUAAAGCUGUUUCCUGGGUUUAGUUCUACUGCUGGGCCCUGCUGUUUUGCUGCUGACCUUCUUCCCUUAUUCUUUUCCAUUUCCAGGUACUCCUUCAUUCUCUAGGAAAUGACAUGCAAAUAUACAAGUUGUAAUUGGCUGAAAUUUUCUAUGAAAGGAUGAACUGUUUUCCCCUCAUAUGUUCAAUAUCAAAUUCCUGUUUAAAAUUUCUGAAAUUAGUAGUUCAGUGUAAGAGUGUUUAGCCUAGCCUCUUCAUCUUAGUGCAGUAGCAGUGCUUUGAAAAUCAUGUGCUCUUUCAUUUCUAUUGGAAAUUGGCAGAUUCUUUUGCUUGGUUGAACAUUCAAG
rnacentral:lncRNA from 1 species